UACGUAGGGGGCAAGCGUUGUCCGGAAUUAUUGGGCGUAAAGAGCUUGUAGGCGGUUUGUCGCGUCUGCUGUGAAAAUCCGGGGCUCAACCCCGGACUUGCAGUGGGUACGGGCAGACUAGAGUGUGGUAGGGGAGACUGGAAUUCCUGGUGUAGCGGUGAAAUGCGCAGAUAUCAGGAGGAACACCGGUGGCGAAGGCGGGUCUCUGGGCCGAUACUGACGCUGAGGAGCGAAAGCGUGGGGAGCGAACAGG
rnacentral:rRNA from 1 species